rnacentral:misc_RNA from 1 species
GUAGGUGAACCUGCGGAAGGAUCAUUAAUGAGUUAGGGUCUCCUAGGCCCGAUCUCCAACCCUUUGUAUAUCUACCAUGUUGCUUUGGCGGGCCCGUCCGUAACCGGACCGCCGGGGGUCUUCAACCUCUGGCCAGCGUCUGCCAGUAGCCCACAAUAAACUCUUUAAACCAUGUUAAAUCUGAAAAUAGUUAAAUAAACUAAAACUUUCAACAACGGAUCUCUUGGUUCUG